rnacentral:rRNA from 2 species
UUAAAUUGAAGAGUUUGAUCAUGGCUCAGAUUGAACGCUGGCGGCAGGCCUAACACAUGCAAGUCGAACGGUAACAGGAAACAGCUUGCUGUUUCGCUGACGAGUGGCGGACGGGUGAGUAAUGUCUGGGA